UACGGAGGGUGCAAGCGUUAUCCGGAUUCACUGGGUUUAAAGGGAGCGCAGGCGGAUUUGUAAGUCAGUGGUGAAAGGCUUAAGCUUAACUUGGGAACUGCCUUGAUACUAUAGUCUUGAAUGUUGUUGAGGUUUGCGGAAUGGGUCAUGUAGCGGUGAAAUGCAUAGAUAUGACCCGGAACACCUAUUGCGAAGGCAGCAGGCUAAACAAAUAUUGACGCUGAGGCUCGAAAGCGUGGGGGAUCAAACAGG
rnacentral:rRNA from 1 species